AUGAAGCUGGAAUCGCUAGUAAUCGCGGAUCAGAAUGCCGCGGUGAAUACGUUCCCGGGUCUUGUACACACCGCCCGUCACACCAUGGGAGUCGGAAAUGCCCGAAGUCUGUGACCCAACCGUAAGGAGGGAGCAGCCGAAGGCAGGUCGGAUGACUGGGGUGAAGUCGUAACAAGGUAUC
rnacentral:rRNA from 1 species